rnacentral:rRNA from 1 species
CGCCUAAACAUGCAAGUCGAACGCAGUAGCAAUACUGAGUGGCAAACGGGUGAGUAUAAUGUGGGAAUCUGCCUUUUGGUUUGGAAUAACACGGGGAAACUUGUGCUAAUACCGAAUAAGCCCUUACGGGGAAAGUUUUAACGCCGAAAGAUGAGCCUGCACUUGAUUAGCUAGUUGGUAAGGUAAAGGCUUACCAAGGCAACGAUCAAUAGCUGUUCUUAGAGGAAGACCAGCCACAUUGGGACUGAGACACGGCCCAGACUCCUACGGGAGGCAGCAGUGGGGAAUAUUGCGCAAUGGGGGAAACCCUGACGCAGCGAUGCCGCGUGAGUGAAGAAGGCCCUAGGGUUGUAAAACUCUUUCACCGGUGAAGAUAAUGACGGUAGCCGGAGAAGAAGCCCCGGCUAA